rnacentral:rRNA from 1 species
AGAAUCAACGCUGGCGGCGUGCCUAACACAUGCAAGUCGAACGAGAAAGUGGAGCAAUCCAUGAGUAAAGUGGCGCACGGGUGAGUAACACGUGACUAACCUACCCUGGAGUGGGGGAUAACUGAGGGAAACCUUAGCUAAUACCGCAUAAUACCUACGGGUCAAAGGAGCAAUUCGCUUCAGGAGGGGGUCGCGGCCGAUUAGUUAGUUGGCGGGGUAAUGGCCCACCAAGACAGUGAUCGGUAUCCGGCCUGAGAGGGCGCACGGACACACUGGAACUGAAACACGGUCCAGACUCCUACGGGAGGCAGCAGUGGGAAUUUUGCGCAAUGGGGGAAACCCUGACGCAGCAACGCCGCGUGGAGGAUGAAGUCCUUCGGGACGUAACUCCUUUCGAUCGGGACGAUUAUGACGGUACCGGAAGAAGAAGCCCGGCUAACUUCGCGCCAGCAGCCGC